CCCUUAGAUGUUCUGGGCCGCACGCGUGCUACACUGAGUGGAUCAGCGGGUCAGGUUGCGCGAAAGUGUUUCCUAAUCUUUAAAUCCGCUCGUGAUGGGGAUUGACGGUUGCAAUUUUCCGUCAUGAACGAGGAAUACCUUGUAAGCGCGGGUCAUCAUCCCGCGCUGAAUACGUCCCUGCUCUUUGUACACACCGCCCGUCGCUCCUACCGAUUGAGUGGUCCGGUGAGGCUUUGGGAUCUGAGCGGAAAGAGCGUUUCGCUGUUUCUGCCCGGAAAACUCAGUCGAACCUUAUCAUUUAGAGGAAGGAGAAGUCGUAACA
rnacentral:rRNA from 1 species